rnacentral:rRNA from 1 species
GAUGAACGCUGGCGGCGUGCCUAAUACAUGCAAGUCGAGCGAACAGACGAGGAGCUUGCUCCUCUGACGUUAGCGGCGUACGGGUGAGUAACACGUGGAUAACCUACCUAUAAGACUGGGAUAACUUCGGGAAACCGGAGCUAUUACCGGAUAAUAUAUUGAACCGCAUGGUUCAAUAGUGAAAGACGGUUUUGCUGUCACUUAUAGAUGGAUCCGCGCCGCAUUAGCUAGUUGGUAAGGUAACGGCUUACCAAGGCAACGAUGCGUAGCCGACCUGAGAGGGUGAUCGGCCACACUGGAACUGAGACACGGUCCAGACUCCUACGGGAGGCAGCAGUAGGGAAUCUUCCGCAAUGGGCGAAAGCCUGACGGAGCAACGCCGCGUGAGUGAUGAAGGUCUUAGGAUCGUAAAACUCUGUUAUUAGGGAAGAACAAAUGUGUAAGUAACUAUGCACGUCUUGACGGUACCUAAUCAGAAAGCCACGGCUAACUACGUG